CUAUUGGUUCACUCUAAUACGUAAGCUGCUUUGAAAUGGUAGGGAGGGAAAGGACACAGGUGGCGCGCAACAAAUGGCAGUGGCUACGACACUCGUCUCUCUCUCUCUCUCUCUCAAAUUCCAAUCCCAAACCCUAAAACUCGCAUUUUUUCCCCUUUUGUCCCUCGAUGAUUUUCUCGUUCCCUUCUUCUGAUGCUAUGUGCCGAAAAUCUUAGCAUCUGCUGCAGAGAGUUAGGGUUUCUGGGACUGCUACUACUGCUGCAUUGCAUUCUUCUUUUUCCAAUUUCGAUGGUGGGUACUGGGUAGGAAGCAAAGUGUAGGAUAAUCUGUGGUAGAACGAAGGACUGUUUUUAUCUUUGGAUGUCGCUGAAUCGGAUAGUUCUGAUUUCUUAAAUAGCAAAUGGAUAUGCCUUGUGAGUCGUGACCCAAUUGAAUCAGGGUUGCUGUGAUUUCUACUGUCAAUUUAUUAUAUUUCUUAUCUGUAAUGCCAAGUUUGAUCGUGGAUAAAUGCUUGGAAGGUCUGUGAAGAAUAAUCUUGUCAGUACUAAAGACUGAAUUAUCUACUGUUUCAUCUCAGCAGUAGUUGGGCAAGGGGAUUUUUUAUUUCUUUGGUGGUUGCUGAACCGAUUUUAAGAUACCAUAUGACGCGGUAAUAGAAUGAGCUAUUGUUUUUGUCUUUGGUGGUGGAUGGAGAAUUUAGUUCUGAAAUAGCAAAUGAAUCUACUUACUAUCAAGUGGUUUAAUUACAUGGAAUUAGGGACUCUAUGACUGCUACUGUUGCUGCAUAUGUGAUUUUUUUGGUAUUGGAAUCGAGAUUGUUUGUGGAAUCUGCUAAGUAUCAAGGUGAAACUUUGUGGUUUGCAUCCAUUCGAGCUUGCUGUGUCCCUUAUGGCAAUCCAUCCAUAAACUUGAAUUAAUAAACUUAACAAUUGGUUUCUGUGUCAUCAUCAACGGGCACUUCUAUUGAUAAUAUUGCAAUAGUUACACUUGCUUUUGGUAUAAUCUCAGCUAUUGCUCUUUCAAGCUUUGGUAGAGAUGAUUUACAGGUCAAUCCCACCGUAUUGGGAUGCAACCCCAUCUGGUCUUGGUCAAUUGGAUCUUCAAUAUUAGCUUUUGCUGGAAUAGAAGCAGACUCCGGAUUCCAGGCAACAAUUGCGUUAGAAGAAUCACACUCCUUGUAUUGUUGUAUGUAGUACUGUACGCUCUUUACAAGCUCUCCGCCAUCAAUUUUGAUAAGGGGAAUUUCAUCAGGGUCCUCCUUCCAGAAGUCCUCAAUGUCACUUUCUAAUGCCUCUGUCCAUUGUUGUUCUGGUGUUGCUGGUUCUUCAAUGAUUGGCUCACACUGCACACGUUCAGGACUUGCUUCUCGGAUCAGGUUGUCCUCAGGGAGAGGUAGAAUUACUGGGUUCAUGUUGACAGAAGGGUUUCUCUCAGCUAUAAUGGGUACAGCCAUACUCACGAUCUGCUUCUCUUCCGGUCCAGGCAAGGCAAGUCGUGCACUGUACUAAAAGGAUUUUGUGGGGGUUAUGAUAUUACAAAGUUCUUUGAUCGAGUUUGCACAAUCUGGGCCAGAGAUACUUCUGAACUGACUCCAGCACUGGAUACCUACGUAGUACAGCAGUUAGCAGUUUCUAUCUGUGCUUUUUUGUUUUUUCUUUACUAGUUGGCAUAAGAUACUUACAGUUCAAGGAGGUGUAUUUGAAGUGUUUCAGGAAGUGGCUGGAGAGGGACCCAUCCAAGUCUAACUGCUAUCCUUCCAACAUUGGUGUCAACCUUCAAGAUAUGAGUCAUAGUAACAUGUUAUUCCAAUUGCAAGGCUUUUUAUGAUUUGCAUUGGCUAGAAAUCUGUGAUUGGAUUUCAAAUAAGUCAUACCGGGAAAGCAAGAUGAUGAAGUGUUAGAAGCCGUACACAUUCCACACUUUUUAAUCCCAAUCCCCAUAUGCUUAGCAGAUAGUCCCUGCAUUUGAUGUUGCACAUGGAAACAAUAUAUAGGAAGAACAUGAUCAAUUUCCAUUGUAUGCAGAUUCUUGCAGUCAGUGUCUGCUAUAUAGUAACUUCCAAGGAUUAACGACACUGGUGAAUGAUGAUACAAGAGUUUGGCUUACUUUGCUUUAUCGGGAGGAACAUGUCUUAACCAUUCAAGAUCAAUGCUUCCAUGUUCUUCAACCAGUCUGUUAAGGAAUGCCUGGGAUAUAAUAGAUGUCAUUUGUCAAAGCAUGUUUUAAUCAAAAUUCAGUAUUCUACAAACUUGAUUGGGUCAACAUACCUUGAUUCGCUCUGCUAGCAUGUUGUUCAUCCCUCGGAAUAUAAUAGCAUCAGAUAUCUCUUUAACCGAGGCACAUCUUAAUGCUUCAUAGUCCAGUGAAUCCAUUGUCUCUUGGCUUCUUUCUUUCUUUGUCUCGUUUUCCUGGACCUCCUUUCUUAGCAUGUCCCAGUCACCUGCAUGCUUUUUCUCAGUGUCAGAUUUCUUUUUCCUUGCUUUUGGAACCUGGAGUUUACUCUCUUUAUCUUUUGGGUCUAGAGAAUAAACUUGCUUCUGUGCCUUUGGUUCAGCCUGAUUAUUAUCUGAGCAAACUUGCCUGCUUUCUGCGGAUGUUUCACUGUCAAAGCCUACUUCUGCAUGCUUAGGAACAUUGAAGUAAUCAUUUAUUGCAUUUUCUUGCCCUCUGCCCAGUAUUUUUGAAGUAUUUAAUGAUUCUACAUGUUGCCUGCCUUCUGAUUGUAAUGCCUUUUGAUCCAGAAGAUGAUGGUUUGGUGAAAGUUGAUUAUAAGUUGUAUGAGAUCUAGAUUGAGAAGUAUCUUGUAAAAGGACUGAGUGCUUGCUUAUUGGUCCACAAGGGUUCAUUGUAGGUAACUCUGGACACCCAAUUGUCCCAUUUCCGUACUGCAUCUCAGUGGGUUUAUCCACACUAUCUACCACUUCCCAUAUGCCAAUUCUUCUAUAAUUGUUUUCUUGAAAUUUACUGUGUACCGAAACAGUUCCAGGGAAACACAACUCUUCACCAUUCAAUUGUUGUGUGUACGGGUAUUGGAGUUGAUAGUGAAUUGAAGGAGCUGCAGGUGGUUGCUUUUGGAGAUAACCAAAGCUGCUGGGAUGAUUGAAUGCUGAAUGGAGUCUGUGACUACUAUUUCUGCCUCCUAUUGAGCUUUGUUCCACAUGUUCUGCUUGUUGCAUCUUUCCAUCUUUGGUUCUCUCUUCAAACAGUGACACUCCAUUUACACUGUUGUAAAAUUCCUGGAACAUAGUGGUCUUUCCAACAUGUAAAGAAUUUGUUGAAGUAAAAAACUGAACCAUGCUGGGUUCACAUCUGCUGUUAAGUCCAUCUGAUUCCGAAUUGGAUCCUGAGGAUGUUAUUCUUUUGUCUUGAGUGAUUGAAGAAUCUAGAGAAUCUUGUGAUGAUAAGAACUCUUCCUCUAAGCUCUGAUGAUUUGGCUUCAUUAGACUCUCAUUUAUCCUUGUGGUUUCACUGUCUCUCCAAAGCUCUCUUGGAUGAUGAGGUGUCUCAAAGUCAAGAUAGUAGCUUAGUUGAUUUAAUGUUGCUCCUCCAUAUGAUAUUAUUCUGUCAUCAGCUGGAUUUACUAUUGAGAGUUCUGGUUGUUCAACUAAAGUGUCUAUGACAACAUCAUAUGAUCCCUUGCUUCUUUUUGGCUUCAGAGGAAACCUUGCUGCUAGAGACAUAAAGGCAGAGCUGCAAACAAGGAAAGAAACAUGAAAUUUUUGUAGAGCUGCACAUCAUCUUGUACUAGCAUUGGCAGUUUUAGUGAAGCAUCCUGACUGAGGAAAACACCUUUUAUUGAUAUAUACGCUUACCUUGAAAGGUGGUCUGAAACAUUCUGAGUGAGGAAAACUCCUACUACUGAGUCAACCACAGAUCCUUUCCACUUUGAAAAGCGUCUAUCUCCUGCAGAGUAGAGGGGAAGACAGGUUUAACAUCAGCAAGUAUUUGGCUUAAUGUUGGGGUAUGAUGUGUUGUACCUUGAACAAGAUGCAUCCGGGCAAUGAAUGAAUCAACUCGUCCACGAAAUACAUUUCUUUCCUCUUCCCACCACUUCUCCUUUUCCUUAUCAGUUUCUUCAAAGCCUUCACACCCUUCCUUGCCCAUCAACUGUUUCCACAUUCUCUCUGUUUCAGUGUCAAGGUCCACUUUUGCCCUUGGUUUUUUCUUAGCAAGUUCAGGUUCCUGGUAGGGUACCAUCGAACCAUCUCCUUUAUAUUGGACUAGUGCCUUUUGUCCUUCCCCAUCUCCUUUAUAUUGGACAAGUGCCUUUUGUCCUUCCACAUCUCCUUUAUAUGAGACAAGUGCCAUUUGUCCUUCCAUCUCGGAUGUGUUGCUUUCAUUGAGGUUGUGACCAUUAUUAUGUUGCCAAAAGAUUUCAUCUGUCAUGGUGGAAUAUACCUGGUGUUGUCUUCCUGAAAAUUAAGAAAUAGGCAAUUAUCAUUAUUUGUUUACUAAGAGAAGUACAUUUCCUUAUCAGACAUGCAUUACCUGGACUAGAAAAGCAAUCACCAUGUGAUUGUAAUCCAUUGUUGUCUUCUAUUGUUACUUUCUGUGAAUCAUCUUUAGACACUAUUUUUCUGGAAGACCUGCAGACUUUUUCCUGGAGUCUAUUUUCAGUUCUUUUCCUCUUAUUUUUCGAGAAACCUUUGGCAAGAAUUCCACCAUUACAGUGUCCAUCCGCUUGGUUCUCAGAGCUGUUGCAAUAUUUUCUCUUGGAACCCUGUUCUUGAAUGGAAUUGGAGAGAACAUUGAAACCCAACUGAAGGGUAUUCUGACAAAUCAGUUCCCCAGUCUUCUGAGAGUUUUCAAAACUUGUCUCUGAUUGAAAGAGAAAGUUGCCCAUUUCUUUUGCAUUAAUGUAUUGCUGCAUGCAUCCAUUAUUUCUUUCCUGGUGCAAAUCAGAAUUCCCUUGAGCUGGACCUUUCUCGGUGACUGGAGAUUUUACUAUCUGCUGUUCUUCUGACAAGAAAUGAUUAUUUACCCUUUCUUCUGAUGUAAUUUCUUUGGCCUUGCAGUCUGAAGUGGUAGUAGAAGCUUUUUCAUUUGUAUGAUGGAUCUCUUGCUGACUAACUAUUCUGCUCUGGCUCUCAAAUCUACUAUUUUCUAAGUCAAAAUUUAGAGCUUUCCUGCACGAUUUUCUAGUUGCAACAGUUGCAUCAGAAGAUUCUUCUAUAACAUCAGCACGUGGUGUUGCCGCACUUUUAGGGACAUUCUUCCUCUUCUUGUGUGGAGUCUUCUUAAUCUGGGUCUUUUGAGUUGCAGAGUUUGGUUUACUUUUAGGCUUGGCCUCUACAAUUACCUUUGGCCUAUGCUUUCUUCGUUUAGGUGCUUUGUGCUCAGGUGUCUUGUUCAGGUCAAAACCUUGGUCACUUCCCUGGUCACAUGCGUUGCUGGCAAAACCCUUUUGAUCCUCAUAUAUUGUAGAAAUUGCUGCAGAUGAUGAAUCUACAAUUUGCUGUAGAAGCCCAUUGCAGUAUUCCUGAAUUUCAUUCUCUGUAGAUGAAACCACGUCUUCUUGUUUGUCUUUCUCGUGACUUGUGCUUUCAGAUAAUGUGUAAGCGGGCCUCGUACAAAACUGAUUGUCCAAGAACUUGAGCUGAUCAAUUGUUUUUGGCAUUGAGUGGAGGGAAUUGGUGAAACCAUCAGUAGCAUCAGCUUCUGAUAUUGGCUCAUGGUUCAGAUUAUACUUAAGAAGAAAAGAAGUUACCCGGGGGUAUAUCAGAGAACAUGCCCUUCAGUUGGUUUGAAACUGUGCAGUGAAUGUCAUCGUUGAGCCAGCGGUCUGGGUUGCUAUCCAUGAUUUCAGAAUUCCAAGAUGGAAUCAGAAGUCCAUUUGCCUCUUUAUUCACAAUGCCUGAAGCUGAAUGGAUAUUGCUUUGUAUACCUGCAUAGUAGUCAUUCACCUCGCUGCUACCCAUAAGUUCAGAAUUCCAGGAUGGAAUCAGAAGUCUAUUUGCCUCUUUAUUCACAAUGCCUGAAGCUGAAUAGAUAUUGCUUUGCACACCUGCAUAUGAGUCAUUUACCUCGCUGCUGCCCAUAAGUUCAGAAUUCCAGGAUGGAAUCAGAAGUCUAUUUGCCUCUUUAUUCACAAUGCCUGAAGCUGAAUGGAUAUUGCUUUGUACACCUGCAUAGGAGCCAUUCACCUCGCUGCUACCCAUAAGUUCGGAAGUCCAAGAUGGAAUCAGAAGUCCAUUUGCCUCUUCAUUCAAAAUGCCUGAAGCUGAAUGGAUAUUGCUUUGUACACCGGUGUAGGAGUCAUUCACCUCGCUGCUACCCAUAAGUUCAGAAUUCCAGGAUGGAAUCAGAAGUCUAUUUGCCUCUUUAUUCAUAAUGCCUGAAGCUGAAUGGAUAUUGCUUUGUACACCUGCAUAGGAGCGAUUCACCUCGCUGCUACUGCCCUGAGGAUGAAAUUUUGGUAGCAGUGGACUUCUUGAUGCUAUGUUAUUGCUCGCAUCCUUAUUGAGCAGUAGUUCCAAGGUAUUACUGUUCAGUCCAUUGCUCUCAUAGUGCCGUGCCUGAUUGUAGGAGGCUGCAAUAUGGUUGAGAACACUGUUUCUAUCUGCUGUGUUGCCACAAAUAUUUUUGUGCUCUCCAAUUCGACCUGUUUGCCCCAUCAGAUGGAGAUUCUGAACUGGUCCAUGGUAAAGGGGCAGCAUCUCUUGCAUGUUAUCACGUCCAGGUGCAAUAUGGUUGAGAACACGGUUUCUAUCGGCUGUGUUGCCACCAAAUUUUUUGUGCUCUCCAAUUCGACCUGUUUGUCCCAUCAGAUGGGGAUUCUGAACUGGUCCAUGGUAAAGGGGCUGCAUUUCUUGCAUGUUAUCACUUCCAGGUGCAGUAUAGUUGAGAACACUGUUUCUAUCGGCUGUGUUGCCACCAAAAUAUCUGUGCUCUCCAAUUCGACCAGUAGGUCCCAUCAGAAGGAGAUUCUGAACUUGCCCAUUGUAAUGUGGCAGCAUCUCUUGAAUGUUGUCACUUCCAGGUACAGGAAAUUCUUGAUAAUUUAGCCUUCUUAUGUGGUUCACUGGCAAGUUUGAUUCUGGAUUAGGUCCAUAUAGAAUGAGCUUCUUAGGGGUGAUGGGUACCCAUGUAUUGUUCAUUUGAGAUUGCUUCUCAUCUUGACCCAAUAGUUGUUUACCGAAGUUCAUUAUUGAAAUCCUGCUAGCCAGAAAAGAUAUUACUUUUAUUAGCUUCCUUUCACUUACACUUGGUAUAUGUUGAAUCUAUAAUGGAGAAAAUGGAGAAUGUAUUAACAUGAUAGGUGUUAUAAAACAUCACCUUAAGAGACCUAUUUAUUCUA